rnacentral:rRNA from 1 species
UGGGGAAUAUUGCGCAAUGGGCGAAAGCCUGACGCAGCAACGCCGCGUGAGUGAUGAAGGCCUUCGGGUCGUAAAGCUCUGUCGGAGGGAACGAAUGCUCCUGAAGUUAACAGCCUCAGGAGGUGACGGUACCCUCAAAGGAAGCACCGGCUAACUACGUGCCAGCAGCCGCGGUAAUACGUAGGGUGCAAGCGUUAAUCGGAAUUACUGGGCGUAAAGCGUGCGCAGGCGGUUAUGCAAGACAGAUGUGAAAUCUCUGGGCUUAACCCAGAACGGCCAAGUGAUACUGUCGCGCUAGAGUGCAGAAGGGGCAAUCGGAAUUCUUGGUGUAGCGGUGAAAUGCGUAGAUAUCGGGAGGAACACCUGAGGCGAAGGCGGGCUACUAGGCUGAUACUGACGCUGAGGCGCGAAAGCCAGGGGAGCAAACGGGAUUAGAUACCCACAUAGUCCCUG